UUGAGUGGCAACCCUACCUUUACCUGGUACAAGAAUGGAAAAGUUGUGCCCUAUGAGUGUAAAUACUCCCUCAAUGUAGCCAGCACUGAUGAUACAGAUCUCUACUCCUGUGCUACAGGAGGAGUCACUUCCCCUGCAGUCAAUGUGAAAUGUGUAAAGGUUGAAAUGAAAUCUGACACAAGGAGAGAGGGGGAGUGAGGGUGACAAUAACCUGUAAAAUCACUUGCACUGACCUGACUGGCAGCCAAACAUUCAUCUGGUUCAAGAAUGGACAAUCUCCGUUUUACACCGCCCAGAAAUAUGAAAAUCAUAACUACCUUCAGUUCAAAGCCAGCAGUGGAGAUGCAGGCAGCUACUCCUGUGCAGUAAGAGGCCAUGAGAAUCUCCUGUCCCCAGCAGUGACUCUUUAUCCUCCUCAGAGCAUCUUAUUAUCAGUGAGCCCCUCUGCUGAAAUAGUGGAGGGCAGUUCAGUGACUCUGACCUGCAGCAGUGAUG